rnacentral:rRNA from 1 species
GAUGAACGCUGGCGGCGUGCCUAAUACAUGCAAGUCGAGCGAACAGAUGAGGAGCUUGCUCCUCUGACGUUAGCGGCGGACGGGUGAGUAACACGUGGAUAACCUACCUAUAAGACUGGGAUAACUUCGGGAAACCGGAGCUAAUACCGGAUAAUAUAUUGAACCGCAUGGUUCAAUAGUGAAAGACGGUUUUGCUGUCACUUAUAGAUGGAUCCGCGCCGCAUUAGCUAGUUGGUAAGGUAACGGCUUACCAAGGCAACGAUGCAUAGCCGACCUGAGAGGGUGAUCGGCCACACUGGAACUGAGACACGGUCCAGACUCCUACGGGAGGCAGCAGUAGGGAAUCUUCCGCAAUGGGCGAAAGCCUGACGGAGCAACGCCGCGUGAGUGAUGAAGGUCUUCGGAUCGUAAAACUCUGUUAUUAGGGAAGAACAAAUGUGUAAGUAACUGUGCACAUCUUGACGGUACCUAAUCAGAAAGCCACGGCUAACUACGUG